rnacentral:rRNA from 1 species
AUGGUGAGGCUCCCGUACCUGACCGCGCUCACCACGCUCUUCAGCUACGGCCUCCUCUUCGCCUUCGGCCACUUCCGCGACUUCUUCCGCCGGAUCCUCGACGCCGGCAAAUCCAGCAACCUCAAGGGUUACGCGCCCAUUUGCCUGGGGUACGAGGAUUUCUACACGCGCCGCCUCUACCUCCGCAUCCAGGACUGUUUUGGCCGACCUAUUGCCAGUGCGCCCGAUGCUUGGUUCGAUGUAGUUGAGCGUCACUCAAAUGACGGCAACAAGACACUUCAACGUACCACAAAAACAUCCAAGUGUCUUAACUUGGGUUCCUACAACUACCUUGGUUUUGCUGCAGCAGAUGAGUACUGCACUCCUCGUGUUAUUGAGUCACUCAAGAAAUAUUCUGCCAGUACUUGCAGUGCCAGAGUUGAUGGAGGAAAUACUAAGCUGCACACGGAGCUCGAGGAACUAGUUGCACGAUUUGUUGGCAAGCCUGCGGCUAUUCUUUUUGGCAUGGGUUAUGUGACAAAUUCUGCGAUCAUUCCUAUUUUGAUUGGGAAGGGGGGACUCAUAGUUAGCGAUUCAUUGAACCAUAUUUCUAUAGUGAAUGGAGCCAGGGGUUCAGGGGCUACUGUCCGGGUUUUUCAACAUAACAACCCUGCACAUCUGGAAGACGUACUGAGGGAGCAGAUUGCAGGGGGGCAACCUCGUACACACAGGCCAUGGAAGAAGAUAAUUGUGAUUGUUGAGGGAAUUUAUAGCAUGGAAGGGGAGUUAUGCAACCUUCCUGAGAUUAUGGCUGUCUGCAAGAAAUACAAGGCUUACACAUAUUUAGACGAGGCACACAGUAUUGGAGCUGUUGGAAAGACUGGAAGAGGUGUAUGUGAACUACUAGGAGUGGAUCCAGCUGAUGUUGACAUCAUGAUGGGAACAUUUACAAAAUCGUUUGGAUCGUGCGGAGGUUAUAUUGCAGCAUCAAAAGAGAUCAUUCACCAUCUCAAGCACGCAUGCCCAGCCCAUAUUUAUGCAACAUCCAUGUCGCCUCCAGCAGUCCAGCAGGUCAUCUCUGCGAUAAAGGUCGUCCUUGGGGAAGAUGGAUCUAACAGAGGGGCAAAGAAACUUGCUCAGAUUCGGGAGAACAGCAAUUUUUUCCGUUCAGAGCUUCAGAAAAUGGGUUUUGAGGUGCUGGGAGAUAAUGACUCACCUGUCAUGCCUAUCAUGCUUUACAAUCCUGCUAAAAUUCCUGCAUUCUCAAGGGAGUGCUUGAGACAAAAUGUUGCUGUUGUGACUGUUGCAUUUCCUGCAACGCCGCUACUACUUGCCAGAGCUAGGAUAUGUAUCUCAGCUUCUCAAUCAAGGGAGGAUCUAAUUAAAGGGUUGGAGGUUAUCAGCAAAGUUGGUGAUCUCAUCGGAAUCAAGUACUUCCCCGUUGAGCAAGAGAAGGUUGCAUCUGUUGACAAACUUAAGAAGCUUGAGUGA